CCGCGGCCCGCCCUCCCCCGGCGGCUGGCGUCGGGAAGUACAGUAAAAAGUCCAAGUGCCGCCGCUCAGCGCAAGAUGGGAUCCGGCUCCUCCAGCUACCGGCCCAAGGCCAUCUACCUGGACAUCGAUGGGCGCAUUCAGAAGGUGAAGAAUCAGAGCCUCUGAAGGUUGAGACAUCCGUGCUGGGUCAAGCAGGCUCAGGAAGACACACCGCAGUGAGCCCAGAGAGCUGGGGUAGAGGCCACAGUCUGAACUGGGAAGUGGACACAAAGCCCUGCAAGUGGGUGGAAGAACCUUCCGGAAAGGUCCAGCACAGCUGGGGCUGCCCCAGUC